AUUUCAUUACAUAAUUGUGCCAUAAUAUUAGAUAGUAUUAAUAUUUUAUAAUCCCAUUUGAUAAUAAAUAUUUAGCAGUGCCAUGGUUGAGUAACUCCUCUAAAUUUUGUAAAUGUCUUAUAUAAGACUAAAAUGAAUUUUUUUCUAAAGUUGAUGGGUCAAGCUAACAAUCACUGCUGUUCCUCCACUGAGCCCAAUCCUGUGUCUCAAUGCCAAAGCUUAAGUCCUUAGCAUGACCUAAAGGCUCCAUAACACACAGGCAUGAACACACCCCUCCCACUUCCUUCUCUAGCCCUUCUGUCACCUGCCCUCACUUGCCUUCCUGUUAUGGGCUCUUCUGCCUAUAACACUUCCUCCUCAGCAUCCUUGUUUGGUUUGGCAUGAUUGUCACCUAAUGGAGACACUCUUUAACCAUCCAAUGAAAACACCAAACAUCGCCAGGCACGUAGUUGUCACUCAGUAAGCUAAACAAUAGUAAUACCAACAUUGGCCUUGUGAAAGGAGAGGCUGUGGUAUAAGAGAAACUACUGUUUUGGAUGCUCAAGCAACCUUUCAUGUAGUUUUAUUCAACUAAUAUUUGAUCCAGGAUUUUUUUACACUACCCAUAUGAAAUGUCAUCUGAUCUAUAGUUUUUCAUUGUUGCAUUCUUUUUUGUUUUUGUUGCUAGAAAAUUGGGCAGGAGGUGCUCAUUAAGAGCCUUGGGAACUGUUCCUUGGUUUAUUUUAAAAGUUUAAACAGACUACUAGAAAUGUCCUUCUGUGUACUGGUUAGCCUACAUGUCACAGAUUGUGCCUUGCCUGAAAAGAGGCCAUGCCAAGAUAUGAAUCAGACUAUUCUGGGAGUGUGCGUGAGAUUUAUUACAGCAGGUAUGGGCCAGUUUCUUCUCUUGGGAGGCAGGGAGAGUUCCUGGGGGUGGUAGCUAGUGUCUGCAAAUGGAGGUAGAGAGUCUCAGAAGCAAGCAGAUGAGCCUCGUAGUGUAUGUGUUCCCACGCCAGCAGCUCGUGCUACAGUAGUUUCAAAAGAAGGAUUUUGUGAAUUUGAGGUUAGGCUGUGUGCUUGUUUUCUUUCUGUAGCUGUGAUAAGAAACCCAACAAAAGUGUGUUAGGAAAGAAGGGGUUUAUUUCAACUUACAAUUUCAGUUACAGCCAGUCACUGUGGGCAAGUCAAGGCAAGAACUUCAAACAGCUAGUUACAUCCCAGCUAUGGUCGAGAGCAGCUCCCCAGUGCAGGGGUUCCGGGAAUGUGCAGCCAUGCCCUCGCUUCUGUGCACGCACAGGUGCUAGGGAUCCUAUCAUCCUUCUGAUUGACCUUUAUAGUUGAUUAGACUUUAUGAAUGUUUGAAAAAUAUGUGCGAUUUUUAAUGUUUACUUAGCUACAGAUAAGUAACAUUCCUUAAUUAUUUGCUGUAUAUUAUGUUUUGUAAUCUGUUGUCUUAUUCCAUGUAAUUAUCAUUCAUCUCUUUUGACUUUUUUAAAAGAUUUAUUUGUUCCAUAUAUUUGAGUACAUUGUUCCUCUCUUCAGACACACCAGAAGAGGGCAUCAGACAAGCCAUCAUGUGGUUGCUGGGAAUUGAACUCAGGACCUCUGGAAGAGCAGUCAGUGCUCUUGACCCCUGAGCCAUUUCUCCAGCCCCCCUUUGACUUUUAAAGACUGUUCCAUGUUAACAGAUGCCUGUCGUUUCAGAUCUGGAAGCUGAGGUAGGUUUGAGAGUCUGAGGCCUACUUGGGCUAUACAGUGAGAUCCUGUCUCUAAAAGAAAAAAAAAAUUAGCCCAAAAUUUACCUACUUUAUUCAUUUAUGGCCAAUAUAUGUUGCUGCCUAGCUGUCUGGGUAGAGUCAAUAUCUUCACUAAUGUAACAAUGUUUUAUGGUCUUCUAAUUAUUUCUGCUGUGUAGCAAAGCACCUCAGACUUAGUGAUUUCAGUGACAGUGGUCUUUGUGUUAUUUCCACAUUGGGCUACAGGCUGCUUGCUCAUCUUUUCUCCUUGCACUUCAGUUGGAGCUGGGUGAUGUACAGGUUCAGGUGGGAGUUGCCUGAGCCUUCACUCUUGUCUGCUGGUUGAUGUUGGUGGUCAGUGUGAACCUCACUCAGCGGGAUUUCUUUGCCAGAACACCUACUGUGAAGAUUACUGGUAUUAACUUGAUAGACUCUAGAAUCACUUCUGGGUGGCAUGCCUCCGGGGAAAUACCUUGAUUAUGUUCAUCGAUGAAGGAAGACCCACUCACUGUGGGCAGCACCACUCCUUGGCUGGGAUCCUGGACUACAUAUGUAAAGAAAAGAAAGGGCUGAACAGCAGCAAGAACUAAGUCCCCUCUGUUCCUGACUGUGAGGCUCUGUGCCCAGCUGUCACAAAUCCUGCUACCUUGAUUCCUCAGUCAUGAGAGACUAUAACUCAGACCUGUCAGCCAAAAUGAACCCUUCCACCCUUAAUCUCCUUGUUAGAGCAUUUUAUCACAGCAAAGAGAAAAGAAACUAAGACAUGUCCCAGUAACGUCUGAGUGGCAGCUUCCUAACUGCAGAGACUGUGCUCAGUGAGGUUCUCCCAAGAGAACAAGGCAACAGUGCUUGGGUUUUAUGCUCUCAGCUCACAAGUCACACACAGUCACUUCCACUCUAUCAGGUUAGUGGCAAGGACACAAAGGUCCUCCUAGGUUCACAGGAGGAAGACAGCCCACCAAACAAGAAGGGGUGUACAGAGUUAACCUAUUAACAAAGCAUGUGAGGUGGGGUAGAUCAGGGACCCUCUUUGAACAUGUCAGGUAGGGUGGAACAUUGCCUCUCGUUACAGCUAUAAGGUAGGUAGACCAGUUAUCCCUCUUUGGAAAGGACAGUUGAACAUACCUAAAAAUUGAAAAUGAGUUAGUUACAACAGCAUGAUGCAUGUAUUAAGGUUGAUUGGCAAGGAAAUGAAGAGGCCUGCUCUACAUAGUUAAUUCUAAACACACACACACACUAAGUCAUAGUACUAAGUACUAUGUCAGAGCCAAGAAAUUCUUACUUCCCACAUCCCUGAUUUUUCCUUUCCAACAUUAUCUCUGUCUUUCCCCUGGUCUUACAUCCUUUGAUGCUGCCAAUUCAUACAGCAGGUUACAAACUGUGCACACCUGGAGUGUCAUCAAGAGAAACUGAAGCUUUGCCUCAUUCUGCACAGUGGGACAGAUGCUUGAAGUUCUAGCCAUCUGGUCAGGUACAUUCCAUCUGCAGCGACCAUCCUGAAGGCUUUUUGUCUCCUUCCCAAACAGAUGGGUCCAUAGUUUUUGUAGCUCUUUCUGUGACCAGUUCUCCCUGGGCUCUGCCAGAUCUGUAAU
rnacentral:lncRNA from 1 species